rnacentral:rRNA from 1 species
AUUGAACGCUGGCGGCAGGCUUAACACAUGCAAGUCGAGCGAGCGGCGGACGGGUGAGUAAUGUCUGGGAAACUGCCUGAUGGAGGGGGAUAACUACUGGAAACGGUAGCUAAUACCGCAUACCAUCAGAUGUGCCCAGAUGGGCUUAGCUAGUAGGUGGGGUAAUGGCUCACCUAGGCGACGAUCCCUAGCUGGUCUGAGAGGAUGACCAGCAACACUGGAACUGAGAAACGGUCCAGAUGCAUACGGGAGGCAGCAGUGGGGAAUAUUGUACAAUGGGGUAAAGCCUGAUGUAUCCAUGCCGCGUGUGUGAAGAAGGCCUUCGGGUUGUAAAGUACUUUCAGCGAGGAGGCGUUACUCGCAGAAGAAGCACCGGCUAACUCCGUGCCAGCAGCCGCGGUAAUUC